UAGAGUUUGAUCAUGGCUCAGAGCGAACGCUGGCGGCAGGCCUAAUACAUGCAAGUCGAACGCUCGUAGCAAUACGAGAGAGGCAGACGGGUGAGUAACACGUGGGAACCUUCCCUUUGGUUCGGAAUAGCUCAGGGAAACUUGAGGUAAUACCGGAUAAGCCCUUGCGGGGAAAGAUUUAUCGCCGAAGGAUGGGCCCGCGUCGGAUUAGCUAGUUGGUGGGGUAACGGCCUACCAAGGCGACGAUCCGUAGCUGGUCUGAGAGGAUGAUCAGCCACACUGGGACUGAGACACGGCCCAGACUCCUACGGGAGGCAGCAGUAGGGAAUCUUGGACAAUGGGCGCAAGCCUGAUCCAGCCAUGCCGCGUGAGUGAAGAAGGCCUUAGGGUUGUAAAGCUCUUUUGCCAGGGACGAUAAUGACGGUACCUGGAGAAUAAGCCCCGGCAAACUUCGUGCCAGCAGCCGCGGUAAUGCCCA
rnacentral:rRNA from 1 species